UGGCGGCCUUAGCGCGGUGGUCCCACCUGACCCCAUGCCGAACUCAGAAGUGAAACGCCGUAGCGCCGAUGGUAGUGUGGGGUCUCCCCAUGCGAGAGUAGGGAACUGCCA
rnacentral:rRNA from 14 species